rnacentral:rRNA from 5 species
GGGUUGUGAGGUUAAGCGACUAAGCGUACACGGUGGAUGCCCUGGCAGUCAGAGGCGAUGAAGGACGUGCUAAUCUGCGAUAAGCGUCGGUAAGGUGAUAUGAACCGUUAUAACCGGCGAUUUCCGAAUGGGGAAACCCAGUGUGAUUCGUCACACUAUCAUUAACUGAAUCCAUAGGUUAAUGAGGCGAACCGGGGGAACUGAAACAUCUAAGUACCCCGAGGAAAAGAAAUCAACCGAGAUUCCCCCAGUAGCGGCGAGCGAACGGGGAGCAGCCCAGAGCCUGAAUCAGUGUGUGUGUUAGUGGAAGCGUCUGGAAAGGCGCGCGAUACAGGGUGACAGCCCCGUACACAAAAAUGCACAUGCUGUGAGCUCGAUGAGUAGGGCGGGACACGUGGUAUCCUGUCUGAAUAUGGGGGGACCAUCCUCCAAGGCUAAAUACUCCUGACUGACCGAUAGUGAACCAGUACCGUGAGGGAAAGGCGAAAAGAACCCCGGCGAGGGGAGUGAAAAAGAACCUGAAACCGUGUACGUACAAGCAGUGGGAGCACGCUUAGGCGUGUGACUGCGUACCUUUUGUAUAAUGGGUCAGCGACUUAUAUUCUGUAGCAAGGUUAACCGAAUAGGGGAGCCGAAGGGAAACCGAGUCUUAACUGGGCGUUAAGUUGCAGGGUAUAGACCCGAAACCCGGUGAUCUAGCCAUGGGCAGGUUGAAGGUUGGGUAACACUAACUGGAGGACCGAACCGACUAAUGUUGAAAAAUUAGCGGAUGACUUGUGGCUGGGGGUGAAAGGCCAAUCAAACCGGGAGAUAGCUGGUUCUCCCCGAAAGCUAUUUAGGUAGCGCCUCGUGAAUUCAUCUCCGGGGGUAGAGCACUGUUUCGGCAAGGGGGUCAUCCCGACUUACCAACCCGAUGCAAACUGCGAAUACCGGAGAAUGUUAUCACGGGAGACACACGGCGGGUGCUAACGUCCGUCGUGAAGAGGGAAACAACCCAGACCGCCAGCUAAGGUCCCAAAGUCAUGGUUAAGUGGGAAACGAUGUGGGAAGGCCCAGACAGCCAGGAUGUUGGCUUAGAAGCAGCCAUCAUUUAAAGAAAGCGUAAUAGCUCACUGGUCGAGUCGGCCUGCGCGGAAGAUGUAACGGGGCUAAACCAUGCACCGAAGCUGCGGCAGCGACGCUGAUGCGUUGUUGGGUAGGGGAGCGUUCUGUAAGCCUGUGAAGGUGUGCUGUGAGGCAUGCUGGAGGUAUCAGAAGUGCGAAUGCUGACAUAAGUAACGAUAAAGCGGGUGAAAAGCCCGCUCGCCGGAAGACCAAGGGUUCCUGUCCAACGUUAAUCGGGGCAGGGUGAGUCGACCCCUAAGGCGAGGCCGAAAGGCGUAGUCGAUGGGAAACAGGUUAAUAUUCCUGUACUUGGUGUUACUGCGAAGGGGGGACGGAGAAGGCUAUGUUGGCCGGGCGACGGUUGUCCCGGUUUAAGCGUGUAGGCUGGUUUUCCAGGCAAAUCCGGAAAACUAAGGCUGAGGCGUGAUGACGAGGCACUACGGUGCUGAAGCAACAAAUGCCCUGCUUCCAGGAAAAGCCUCUAAGCAUCAGGUAACAUCAAAUCGUACCCCAAACCGACACAGGUGGUCAGGUAGAGAAUACCAAGGCGCUUGAGAGAACUCGGGUGAAGGAACUAGGCAAAAUGGUGCCGUAACUUCGGGAGAAGGCACGCUGAUAUGUAGGUGAAGUCCCUCGCGGAUGGAGCUGAAAUCAGUCGAAGAUACCAGCUGGCUGCAACUGUUUAUUAAAAACACAGCACUGUGCAAACACGAAAGUGGACGUAUACGGUGUGACGCCUGCCCGGUGCCGGAAGGUUAAUUGAUGGGGUUAGCGCAAGCGAAGCUCUUGAUCGAAGCCCCGGUAAACGGCGGCCGUAACUAUAACGGUCCUAAGGUAGCGAAAUUCCUUGUCGGGUAAGUUCCGACCUGCACGAAUGGCGUAAUGAUGGCCAGGCUGUCUCCACCCGAGACUCAGUGAAAUUGAACUCGCUGUGAAGAUGCAGUGUACCCGCGGCAAGACGGAAAGACCCCGUGAACCUUUACUAUAGCUUGACACUGAACAUUGAGCCUUGAUGUGUAGGAUAGGUGGGAGGCUUUGAAGUGUGGACGCCAGUCUGCAUGGAGCCGACCUUGAAAUACCACCCUUUAAUGUUUGAUGUUCUAACGUUGACCCGUAAUCCGGGUUGCGGACAGUGUCUGGUGGGUAGUUUGACUGGGGCGGUCUCCUCCUAAAGAGUAACGGAGGAGCACGAAGGUUGGCUAAUCCUGGUCGGACAUCAGGAGGUUAGUGCAAUGGCAUAAGCCAGCUUGACUGCGAGCGUGACGGCGCGAGCAGGUGCGAAAGCAGGUCAUAGUGAUCCGGUGGUUCUGAAUGGAAGGGCCAUCGCUCAACGGAUAAAAGGUACUCCGGGGAUAACAGGCUGAUACCGCCCAAGAGUUCAUAUCGACGGCGGUGUUUGGCACCUCGAUGUCGGCUCAUCACAUCCUGGGGCUGAAGUAGGUCCCAAGGGUAUGGCUGUUCGCCAUUUAAAGUGGUACGCGAGCUGGGUUUAGAACGUCGUGAGACAGUUCGGUCCCUAUCUGCCGUGGGCGCUGGAGAACUGAGGGGGGCUGCUCCUAGUACGAGAGGACCGGAGUGGACGCAUCACUGGUGUUCGGGUUGUCAUGCCAAUGGCACUGCCCGGUAGCUAAAUGCGGAAGAGAUAAGUGCUGAAAGCAUCUAAGCACGAAACUUGCCCCGAGAUGAGUUCUCCCUGACUCCUUGAGAGUCCUGAAGGAACGUUGAAGACGACGACGUUGAUAGGCCGGGUGUGUAAGCGCAGCGAUGCGUUGAGCUAACCGGUACUAAUGAACCGUGAGGCUUAACCUUACAACGCCGAAGCUGUU